rnacentral:rRNA from 1 species
UACAGAGGGUGCAAGCGUUAAUCGGAAUUACUGGGCGUAAAGCGUGCGUAGACGGUUAUGUAAGUCAGAUGUGAAAGCCCCCGGGCUCAACCUGGGAAUUGCGAUGAAGACUGCAAGGCUUGAAUCUGGCAGAGGGGGGUAGAAUUCCACGUGUAGCAGUGAAAUGCGUAGAGAUGUGGAGGAACACCGAUGGCGAAGGCAGCCCCCUGGGUCAAGAUUGACGCUCAUGCACGAAAGCGUGGGGAGCAAACAGG